rnacentral:rRNA from 1 species
UGGGGAAUAUUGCGCAAUGGGGGAACCCGUGACGCAGCAACGCCGCGUGAAGGAUGAAGGUUUUCGGAUUGUAAACUUCUUUGAUGAGGGACGAAAGAAAUGACGGUACCUCAAAAACAAGCCACGGCUAACUACGUGCCAGCAGCCGCGGUAAUACGUAGGUGGCGAGCGUUGUCCGGAAUUACUGGGUGUAAAGGGCGUGUAGGCGGGGAUGUAAGUCAGAUGUGAAAUACCGUGGCUUAACUACGGGGCUGCAUCUGAAACUAUGUUUCUUGAGUGUCGGAGAGGAAAGUGGAAUUCCCAGUGUAGCGGUGAAAUGCGUAGAUAUUGGGAGGAACACCAGUGGCGAAGGCGACUUUCUGGACGAUAACUGACGCUGAGGCGCGAAAGCGUGGGGAGCAAACAGGAUUAGAUACCCUGGUAGUCCACGCUGUAAAA